GUAGGCAGCGAGCGUUGUUCGGAGUUACUGGGCGUAAAGAGUGCGUAGGCGGUUUUCUAAGUUUGGUGUGAAAUCUCCCGGCUCAACUGGGAGGGUGCGCCGAAGACUGGAAGGCUUGAGUAUGGGAGAGGUAAGCGGAAUUCCUGGUGUAGCGGUGAAAUGCGUAGAUAUCAGGAGGAACACCUGCGGUGUAGACGGCUUACUGGACCAUAACUGACGCUGAGGCACGAAAGCGUGGGUAGCAAACAGGAUUAGAUACCCUGGUAGUCCACGCCCUAAACGAUGCAUACUUGGUGUGGGUAGUUCAUUCUAUCCGUGCCGGAGCUAACGCGUUAAGUAUGCCGCCUGGGGAGUACGGUCGCAAGACUG
rnacentral:rRNA from 1 species